rnacentral:snRNA from 1 species
CUUGCCAUCUCCACUAGCUGGUUCU